rnacentral:rRNA from 1 species
GACGAACGCUGGCGGCGUGCUUAACACAUGCAAGUCGAACGGAAAGGCCCUGCUUUUGUGGGUUGCUCGAGUGGCGAACGGGUGAGUAACACGUGAGUAACCUGCCCUUUACUUUGGGAUAACUUCAGGAAACUGGGGCUAAUACCGGAUAGGAGCUCCUGCUGCAUGGUGGGGGUUGGAAAGUUUCGGCGGUUGGGGAUGGACUCGCGGCUUAUCAGCUUGUUGGGGGGGUAGUGGCUUACCAAGGCUUUGACGGGUAGCCGGGCUGAGAGGGUGACCGGGCACAUUGGGACUGAGAGACGGCGCAGACUCCUACGGGAGGCAGCAGUGGGGAAUAUUGCAGAAUGGGCGGAAGCCUGAUGCAGAAACGCCGCGUGCGGGAUGACGGCCUUCGGGUUGUAAACCGCGUUCGCCUGUGACGAAGCGUGAGUGACGGUAAUGGGUAAAGAAGCACCGGCUAACUACGUG